rnacentral:rRNA from 2 species
GUCUCCGUUGGUGAACCAGCGGAGGGAUCAUUACCGAGUUUUCAACUCCCAAACCCUUAUGUGAACCUACCUAUCGUUGCUUCGGCGGACUCGCCCCAGCCGGACGCGGACUGGACCAGCGGCCGCCGGGGACCAUCAAACUCUUGUAUUAUCAGCAUCUUCUGAAUACGCCGCAAGGCAAAACAAAUAAAUUAAAACUUUCAACAACGGAUCUCUUGGCUCUGGCAUCGAUGAAGAACGCAGCGAAAUGCGAUAAGUAAUGUGAAUUGCAGAAUCCAGUGAAUCAUCGAAUCUUUGAACGCACAUUGCGCCCGCCAGCAUUCUGGCGGGCAUGCCUGUUCGAGCGUCAUUUCAACCCUCGACCUCCCUUUGGGGAAGUCGGCGUUGGGGACCGGCAGCACACCGCCGGCCCUGAAAUGGAGUGGCGGCCCGUCCGCGGCGACCUCUGCGUAGUAAACCAACUCGCACCGGAACCCCGACGUGGCCACGCCGUAAAACACCCAACUUCUGAACGUG